CUACGGGCGGCUGCAGUGGGGAAUAUUGGACAAUGGGGGAAACCCUGAUCCAGCAAUGCCGCGUGUGUGAAGAAGGCCUGCGGGUUGUAAAGCACUUUCGGUUGGGAGGACUGCUUCUAGCACUAAUAUUGUUGGAAGUUGACGUUACCUUCAGAAGAAGCACCAGCUAACUCCAUGCCAGCAGCCGCGGUAAUACGGAAAAUGCAAGCGUUAAUCGGAAUUACUAAACGUAAAGCGCGCGUAGGCGGCUAGAUCAGUCGGGUGUGAAAGCCCCGGGCUUAACCUGGGAACUGCAUCCGAUACUGUCUAGCUUGAGUACAGGAGAGGAGAGUGGAAUUCCACAUGUAGCGGUGAAAUGCAUAGAUAUGUGGAGGAACACCAAUGGCGAAGGCAGCUCUCUGGCCUGAUACUAACACUGAAAUACGAAAGCAUAAAAAGCAAACAGGAUUAGAUACCCCCGUAGUC
rnacentral:rRNA from 1 species